CACCAUUGCCAUCCCUAUAACUUGCUGAUAAUGUGAUCCUUGCCUAUGAGAGUGAUUGGUUCCAUCAUUACAAUGCUCAAGCUGGGAUCAUUCCAGGGAGGCAACUUGCUGAUAAUGUGAUCCUUGCUCAUGACCUUGUCAAAGGAUACUCUAGGAAACACACAUCACCAAGAUAUAUAAUUAAAAUUGAUCUCAAGAAAGCCUAUGGCUCAGUUGAAUGAAUCUGUCUGGAACAAGUAAUGGAGAAUACGGGGUUUCCUAAAAGAUUUCUGAGAUGGAUUAUGGAAUGUGUAAAAACAGUUAAAUACUCAAAUCAUUGUUAAUGGUGAACCAACACCUCCUUUUGAUGCUGCUAAAAGGCUUAGACAAGGGGAUCCUAUGCCCCCUUUUCUAUUUGUCAUGGAAUAUUUGAGUAGAGAUCUAACUAUCCUAACAGAAACUCCACGUUUUACACACCAUCCCAAAUGUGCUAAGCUUGGUAUAACUCAUCUUAGCUUUGAAGAUUUACCUACUACUUUUUGCCAAGGGUGAUUUGGAUGCAGUUGCUUCUAUACAAUAGGUCUAUAAUUGAAAAGUGAUUGGUUCCAUCAUUUGCAAUGCUCAAGUUGGGUUCAUCUUAGGGAGGCAACUUGUUGAAAAAAUGAUCCUUGCUCAUGAGCUUGUCAAAGGGCACUCUAGGAAACACAUAUCACCAAGAUGCAUGAUUAAAUUGAUCUCAAGAAAGCCUAUGACUCAGCUGAAUGGAACUAUUUUGAACAAGUAAUGGAGAAUAUGGGGUUUUCUAACAGAUUGAGAUGGAUUAUGGAAUGUGUGAAAACAAUUAAAUGCUCAAUCAUUGUUAAUGGUGAACCAACACCUCCUAUUGAUGCUGCUAAAGGACUUAAACAAGGGGAUCCUAUGUCCCUUUUUCUACUUGCCAUGGAAUAUUUAAGUAGUGGUCUAAAUAUCCUAACAGAAACCUACGUUGCUCGGAGUCUUCAAAAAUGGCAGCGGGUGCAUGUUGGAUUCUCCAAAAGUAGUGUAUUUUUGGAGAAUCCGACAUGGGUAUAGCAUUGAAAGUGAAGAGUCCACACAACUUAGACAGAACUCCAAGUUUAACACACCAUCCCAGAUGUGCUAAGCUUGGUAUCACUCAUCUUAACUUUGAAGAUAACCUGCUACUUUUUGGUAAGGGUGAUUUGGAUGCAGUUACUUCUAUCCAACAAGUCUUUAAUAGGUUCUCUGCAUCCUCUGGACUACAAGAAAACCUGCACAAAAGUUCUGCGUUCCUUUUUUCUUUUUUUGGGGGGGAGGGGCUCAUUUGCUGUUAGAAAUCAAAGUUUGGCCCAACAUGAAUUUACUCAUGGAGAAAUGCCUUUUAGAUAUUUGGGUGUACCUCUGCCAACUGAGAAGAUGUCUCUUAUGCAAUGGCAGCCACUCAUUGAUUAGAUGCAGCUGGUGCAGGCAGUGUUAGUUGGUAUACAAGCCUUUUUUUUAUCACAAUUGUUUCAACUCCCUACUUGGAUAAUGACAACUAUUGAGGCACAUUGUAGAAGCUAUAUUUGGUCUGCAUCUAAUGCUAUUACUAAGAAGGCCCUGAUAGCUUGGGAGAGAUUGUGUACUCCUAAAUGUGUUAGAGGCAUGAAUUUGAUCAACAUGAACUUGUGGAAAGGCAGCACUUGCUAAAAGGUUCUGGGACCUAGAACACAAGCAAAAUAAAUUAUGGAUAAAAUGGGUGCAUACUAACUAUAUCAAAGGCCAACCAACCCAAGAUCUUGGUUUGCCCCAACAAGCAAGUUGGAUGAUUAGAAAGAUUGUUGCAGCUCAAGCAAUCUGUAGAACAAUUCAUCAACCACUUAAGGCAGGCAAGAGUAUUAUUCAACAAGUAUACCUAGAACUACUGGAAGUUACAAACAGAGUACCAUGGAAUGUUAUGAUGUUCAAGAAUGAGGCCAGGCCCAAAGCUGUUUUCUCCCAGUAGCUGUAUCUACAGGAUAGGUUCCUCACGAAGGAAAGACUCUUGAAAUGGGGCGUGAAUGUUGAAACUAACUAUGUUUUUGUAAUACUAGCCUGGAAACAAGAGUCCACUUAUUUGUCCAGUGCCCUUUUGCCUGUUCUCUGUGGACUAAGAUCUGCACCUGGCUCAAGAUGAAACCACUAAUAAUGAGUGAUUGGGUGAACCACAUUGCAGGAGUCAUUGUGGGAGCCAAAGGUAAGACACUGAAGGCUCAACUAUUUCAAAUGGUGUACACUGACGCAAUUCAUACUUUACGGAUGGAAAGGAACCAGAGGCUGUAUGAGAAGAAAAGUAGAACUAUGGAAGGGAUUGCAAAAGAAAUAGCUUUUACUUGCAAUGUCAGAGCUCAGGCAAUGAUCAGCACACUACUGCAGUCUCAUAGUUUUUGGCGGGCUUCUUUGCUCUCCCAAUUAGAGCUUAAUGAUCCUCAUGUUGGGACCUGAAGUGACACAGUUAGUAAUGGCUAAGUCCUUAUGCCCCUCCCUAGUGUAGUUUAGUUUUGAGGCUCCCUUUGAUAACAGACUGUGUUAGAGUCCUGUUGUGGUUUGUAAUGCAACAUUUGGUGAUUAAUAAAGGUAAACUAAUCACCCAAGAAAAGAAAAAACUGAAAACUAGUAAAAUUUCGAGAAGAAAAACAAACAACAUAUAAAACUUCUCUAUAUGGUAUAAGAAAACUGAAAAUAUAGAAAUUUCAUGUUCCGCUCAUUCCACGAGCAACUUUUUCCAAUAAAGUUUUCUGGUGAAGGAUAAAGAUAUAUGUCAAAGAUGAAAUCCUGACCUUUAAAUUCUGAGGUGUAAGUAUAGCCACACAACCUGAGCAUAACUCCAAGAAAACAACCUGAGCAUAACGCCAUAAGCCGAUCGGAAUCCAUUUCCGCCGGCGUAAAGUGGCGGUGUACGGCGGAGGUUUAUGACGGUUGAGAAGGGAAGGCGGGAGUUCGCCGAUGAGUGAGUUAGAAUCAGUUUGACUCGGACGAGUUGAGAAUGGUGAGUGUUGGGUUUAAAUGAAUUUUAACUGUUGGUUGAGAUUUGUUGUGGCUUAGUUGGACGGGUGGGAUUUCGUUCGACACGUGGCGAUUGAAGGUGAUUGGAUAGUGUGAUAUACUUUGCCAGAGUGUCAAGUUUUCUUGGAUACAGUGAAAAGAGAAAAGUGGUUAACACUUUGUUUGGAUAAUGCUUUGCCAUGCUUCAUAAUGUAUGGUACUGGACAACAACUGUUUUAUUGUUGGUUUGAUAAUAUGGUAUUGUAACUGGUAAGUUUAUUAAAAUGUUUAAUUAUUAUAAAUAUUAAAUUUAUC
rnacentral:lncRNA from 1 species